CAGCCGCCGCGGUAAAACGAAGGGUGCAAGCGUUAAUCGGAACUACUGGGCGUAAAGCGUGCGCAGGCGGUUUGUUAGGACAGAUGUGAAAUCCCCGGGCUCAACCUGGGAACUGCAUUUGUGACUGGCAAGCUAGAGUGUGGCAGAGGGGGGUGGAAUUCCGCGUGUAGCAGUGAAAUGCGUAGAUAUGCGGAGGAACACCGAUGGCGAAGGCAGCCCCCUGGGCCAACACUGACGCUCAUGCACGAAAGCGUGGGGAGCAAACAGGAUUAGAUACCCCUGUAGUCCCUGUCUCUUAUAC
rnacentral:rRNA from 1 species